CUUUACUGUAGCCUGGUAUUGGGUUCGGGCUUUGACUGCGCAGGAUAGGUGGGAGACUGAGAAGUGUGCCUUGUGGGGCACAUAGAGUCAACGGUGAGAUACCACUCUGUCAGAGCUAGAACACUAACCUUCACCCGUGAUCCGGGGAAGGAACCGUAUCAGGUGGGCAGUUUGACUGGGGCGGUCGCCACCUAAAAGGUAACGGAGGCGCGCAAAGGUGUUCUCAGGCUGGUUGGAAAUCAGCCGUAGAGUGUAAAGGCAGAAGAACGCUUGACUGUGAGAGUGACAACUCAAGCAGGGUGGAAACACGGCCUUAGUGAUCCGACGGUAUGCGCGUGGAAGUGCCGUCGCUCAACGGAUAAAAGUUA
rnacentral:rRNA from 1 species